AAAUGGGGGAAAAAAAUGUAGAAAAAAAAAAAAAAAAAAUUCAUAUCCGGAACGUACAACGACACCCUUGAUGCAAAACAUGUUUGCGCGCCUGACGAUGUUAAGACACACGACACACACUUCCCUUGAGAAAAGAUGAUAGCCUUCACGAGUGUCUUACUAUUUCUUUGCAGAGCCCCUCUUCUUGAUGACGACGCGUACACUGUCAGCUACACUUUGCAGUGUGUUACUUAAAUUUUUCUCUAUCUUUGUAUCUCUCCAUUUCAGAUAAAUUGUUAUCUUUCCAAGGGUUGAGAAGAACAUGGUCGUGGUUCAAGUGAAGCCACUACAGCCACUCCCUGACAAGCCUUCCACACCGACAGACAGUGACAGCAGACACACAAGAGACGAUGGUGUGGUGGACAAGAGGAUGCAGGGAGACAGCAGACAGAAUGGAAGCUACAGAUGAAAGAAGAGCAGGUCAAGCCAUGGCAGCAGACACAUAGACAGACAGAUUGGAUAAGAAAGAAGUAUUAUUUAGUGAGACAGGACCACUGGAAGCUGUCAGAGUGCUGUGGCACGUGGCAAGAACCAAGUGUUCAGGAGCACACACUGUCCCUUCACCAGUCAGCAGGUCUGGGCGGCUUGGAAGCCUCACUACAAACUGAAGACCCGUUCACUUGAAGGACACAGUUGGAGUUAUUUUUAAACGAGAGCUUCAGGCAGAAAAUUCGAGUGGAUUUUCAACUCUAAAAAUAACUUUUUUGGGGGGAUAUUUUGAACCUUCUUUAUCUUGAAAAAUAACUCCAGAUAUUAUGACUCUAGCUGGAAGUUGACCUGAGCAAUGUAGGGUUUGCUGCAGUGAGAUUACCAAGGCACGAGUGUCUGGGAUUUAAAGAUGAUGGAUAGGUGUCCUGUGUGCUGCUGUGCUGGGAGGAGAGGAGCAGCAGCAGUCGUGGGGCUCUGUUGCUGCUGUCACUGGUGCAGCUGUUCACUCCUGCAGCUACCUUCCCUCAACAUACUGUGUCUUCCCUCACCUGCAAUGAACAACUAUGAACAAUACUUCUCCUGCGAUGAGGAACAGUGAAUAACACCUCUCUCUCUCUCUCUCUCUCUCUCUCUCUCUCUCUCUCUCUCUCUCUCUCUCUCUCUCUCUCUCUCUCUCUCUCUCUCUCUCUCUCUCUCUCUCUCUCUCCACAGUAUGUCCCCCACAGUAUGUUUACAAACCCACAGUGACUCUCCACAGCCCCUCACCAACAAUUGUCUCCUUCACACACACACACACAAAUGUUAGAAUCUUGUAGUGUCUACAACAAGGAAUGGAACCGAAAUCGACAAGCCAAAUUUUCUUCCAGCCUGCGUGAGUGUAGUGAGGCUCAAUGUGUGUGUACAAGUGAAGAAUAUAUAUUAGAUGCUUGACUCAAAAAUAUGAGGCUUACACAAAAAUACAGGACACAACUUGAGUGUGGUGAGUCAAAGGUGAGUCAAAAUGCUCAACUUUGAAUUAACUUACAACAAAAACUAACUAAAUAAAACACACUAUAAAGAAAUAAUCUCAUCAAUUAACACUGAAAAAAAAAUAUAUAUACACCAACACAAAAUAAAUAAAUAAAUAAAUAAAUGAAGACUAAAUCAAGCAAAUUAAUCUGAACGCUAACACACAAACCAACAUAGUCGUAUAUUUUUUAACACUACGGUGAAGAAAGAUAAUGAAGCUUUAACAUUGAGUGAAAGAGAGAGAGAGAAAUUUGUGGUCUUCCUAAAUUCUCUCUCUCUCUCUCUCUCUCUCUCUCUCUCUCUCUCUCUCUCUCUCUCUUACACAAACAAUAAAAAAAACAAAAAAGUAAAUAAACAAAAUACAAGCAAAUAAUAAUAGCCGUCCACACCAAUCCACAUACACCAAGCCAUCCCAAUCCAGCCAAUCACGAGCCAGCAGCAGACACACCAAGAGGAUUGGGAGAAAGAGGAAAAAGAAAAAAAAAUGAAAAAUAAUGGAUACCGGGAGAAUAAGAAAAGAAUAAGAAAAAAAAUGGCGAAUCAAGAGAAAAAUGAGAAAAAUAAAGGAAAAAAAUACGAAUAAAAUCAAAAGGAAAAAAUGAGGGAAGAGAAAAAAUGGGGUGAGGAGGGGAACACUUAGGAAAAUAAACCAAACAAUAGGGCAUUACAUUGUGAUUACGUAUAGCAGGGAUGGAUUAUGAGAGAGAGAGAGAGAGAGAUCUGCUCAGGAAUUUAAUUUUGUGUUGGUGGUUUACGCUCUCUCUCUCUCUCUCUCUCUCUCUCUCUCUCUCUCUCUCUCUCUCUCUCUCUCUCUCUCUCUCUCUCUCUCUCUCUCUCCUUACAACAGUUUUGUUUUUCUGUUUUCUCUCGCUCUUAUCUUUCGUUGAGAGAGAGAGAGAAAGAAACAUUAUUAUUACACACACACACACAAACACUCUUUUCAUAGAUAAGUUAACGCUUUUAAUAAAAUAUAUAUAUAUAUAUAUAUAUAUAUAUAUAUAUAUAUAUAUAUAUAUAUAUAUAUAUAUAUAUAUAUAUAUAUAUAUAUAUAUAUAUAUAUAUAUAUAUAUAUAUAUAUAUAACCCUUUCUUUUUACCUUAUCUAUCACAAUAACCCUUUUCUACCUCCUAUUCCUUCCCUUCCAAAUGAAACCGAACCAUUAAGAAGUAUCACUUGCUUCUCUCCUGUAACUUAAUGAAACGCUCGAAUUAAUUCAUAAGGUGCGCAAAGGAGCUUAAUUAAUAAACAGGAAAGAUUAAAAAUGCAUUGUGGGGAAAAAAAAAGGUGAAAUAUGAAUGAGUUUGAGGAAAGGUGUGUGUGUGUGUGUGUGUGUGUGUAAGGUAAUGAGUUUUUUAACUGAAGAAUGUAAGGUAUUGGAUCCGAAAGCAUAAGAGAUUUGUAACGGUGUCACAUAAUUAAUGAUAAUAUGUAUUGUAUUUAUAAUGCCUUGCCUGAUUAGCAAUAUAAGUGUAUGUAUACAUAUAUGGAUAAGUGUAGAUAGUGGGUGUUGGCGCAUAAGGGUGGGGCGGAUAUGAUCACACCACCCUACGUCACACACACACACACACACACACACACCAUGGAACUUUCCAUACUCCUUUUAUUGCCAUGGAUAAGUAAUCGGUAGCACCUACAUUACAGUAUCUAAGUAUUCUCCAUAGUUAAUCUCUCCCUAAUGUAUUUUGGCAUGUAUUACUCUUAGCUAUAAGUAGCUUUUCCCUUGCCUUAUUUAUGUAAUUAGAGAGUAAUAAUUAUGAAUAUAUUCAUGUACUGUGAGUGCGGUCAACCCGCCCCUAUUUCUAAUGUCAGCACUUUUUGAAGGCGCUAAGCGUCCCUUGUGCCGGCUCCGGCAGUCUCUUGCCAGGGUGUAACGCUGUACCACGCAGAGGACAUCCGUUGUCCCGUACGCGCCACACCCUUCUCCAGAACUCUGUACAUAUAUCUAAAUAUACCUAUUUUUAUA